rnacentral:lncRNA from 1 species
CGAGGUUGAAGAUCUCCACCUCCUGAUGGACCCCGAGGACUUCCUCAAGUUAAAGAAGCAGUUGCAUAUCAAGACGGCCGGUAAAAACGACGCGUUUUGUUUCAGGUCGAGAGGUUUGGUGGAGGUGAUGAAGAUGUCUAAAGGUUUGAGGGAGAAGGUGCCGUUUGUGGUGGGCGUUGAGGUGGAUCCCACGGGAGGACCGAGGCUGCAAGAGGCGGCGAUGAGGCUUUACGCGAGAAAGGGAGAGGAGUGUGAUAAGAUUCAUUUGCUUCAAGGGAUGCAAGGUGUGGAAGCUGCGGCGAAGAGGUUCUUUUUCGCGUAUAAGCAGGUGGUUGCGGCGGUGAUGGGGAGCGCGGAGAUGAACACGGAGUGUGACUCGGUGAGUCAGAUAUUCAUGGAGCCGACUUAUUUCCCGAGUCUUGACGCGGCGAAGACGUUCUUGGGAGAGUUCUGGAGCCACGUUGGGUGAUGAAAGAAAGGAG